rnacentral:rRNA from 1 species
AUUGAACGCUGGCGGCAGGCUUAACACAUGCAAGUCGAACGAGUGGCGGACGGGUGAGUAAUGCCUGGGAAUCUGGCUUAUGGAGGGGGAUAACUACUGGAAACUGUAGCUAAUACCGCAUACCAUCAGAUGUGCCCAGAUGGGAUUAGCUAGUUGGUGGGGUAAAGGCUCACCAAGGCGACGAUCCCUAGCUGGUCUGAGAGGAUGACCAGCCACACUGGGACUGAGACACGGCCCAGACUCCUACGGGAGGCAGCAGUGGGGAAUAUUGCGCAAUGGGCGCAAGCCUGAUGCAGCCAUGCCGCGUGUAUGAAGAAGGCCCUCGGGUUGUAAAGGUCUUUCGGCAGGGAGGCGUUACCCACAGAAGAAGCACCGGCUAACUCCGUGCCAGCAGCCGCGGUAAUAC